AAAUCGAGCAAUAAAAUUCAUUGGAUCGUUUUAAUAGCUUUUAUUUUAGGAAGGAUGGAUAUAAAGUACUGGAAAAUCCAAUAAAUUUUAUUAUAAAAGUCAAUAGACUGUACAAUUAUUUUUUGGCGCUGAUGUAUCUAGAGAAAACUAUUCAAAAAUCUAAUAAAUUUUAUACGUUCGCUCUGCAAUACUACACCAAAUGAAAUAUAUCUGAAAAUCUUAUAAAUUUCAUAAACAUGAUUACGUAUAGUUUUUAGUAGAUGUGGUUUACAUUCAGAAACAAUAAUGUUGGGAUCAGGCUGUAAAUUUUCGAAGAACGGCUGCCCGUUCCAAUUGUUCCAUAUUUGUAUUGAAACCGGACUAUCAUUUAGUGGAGGAAGGAAAAAGCACGGGAAAUUAAUGAUUAUUGGAUUGUGAAGCAGCAAAACUAUGUUUCGGUUGUGUAAUAGAAGCGCACCAACCAGAUCAAUCGAGGAGAUUGUUCCGGAGAAAGAACUUCACCUGAACGGGAUAUUCAAAUUACGAUCAAGAUUUUCGUCGGGCAUCAGGUAAUCAAUUUUCGCCUCCGGAACGCCAACCCAAUACCUCGGCUCGCGCGAUCGACUUCCGGAACGAUGCUCGUGUGCAUCAAGCGG